rnacentral:misc_RNA from 1 species
UAUGACAAGAGGUUAACAGCAAAGAAGAUAACAGAUAGAGAAGUAAGAGUUCAAAUGUUUUACCUUGAAGACAAUUAAGUCAAUGAGGGAGUGUCAAAUGUUAGGUUAGGGUACUUGCUUAAUGUUGGCUUACAGCUUUAAUAGCGUGUGUUCAAAGUUUGUCUCCAGUCAUUGCCAUUUUGUCAUUCUUGUAAUGGUGGUUAUGGUGUCAGUGAUGAUGAUAUUUGUUGUGUCUGGUACCAUAGUUAUUCAGCUAUUAAAUGUGCCUGUCUCUAUGUCAAUAAGUGACCCUUGAUUCUUUAGCAAAAUAGUCUUACCCUCUUGUGGUUCCUAAAGGUAACGGAUGGGUAACCUUUUCAGGGCGGUUCGGUCGAUUUACCCAACUGAUAGGUUUGAGUAGUGUUCAUUAAUAUAGGUGUGAUUUUCCUUCGAAUUUGGGGACACUUCAACAGAUAUGAGUGCAUGUGUCACUUGUCGCUUAUCUAGGAGUCGGGUAUUUUUAAGUGUAUCAUAUUUUACUUCUACUUGAUCAUACAAAAUAUUGCAUAUUGAACGUCCAGGCAGUGAACUGGAUUUUAUUUCAAGAUUACACACUAUGAUCAUUAUUAACUUAUAUAUAAAUUGUUAUCUUCUUGGUUUUCCUUCAAAUGAGGGUAAACAUCAAACAUGUAUAAAGGCAUAAAAGAUGUAAAGUUGAUGCUAGCAACUAGCAAGUACCUACUUAACAGUUGGGUAGGAUUUGCUUUAUUUUAUUUCUUGGCUAUAACACUAAUCCCCAUUUUUUCAUGUCAGUCAUCUUGAUAUUCAAAUUCAUAUUUUUUAGAUUUGAAAUACUACUAUAUCUUUCACAACCAUUUGGAGUUUUCAUCCUGCUACUCAUUUACAGGUGACAGUCCUGGUAGCUGC